rnacentral:rRNA from 1 species
GGGCGCAAAGCGCGCGUAGGCGGCCAAGUAAGCCGGUUGUGAAAGCCCCGGGCUCAACCUGGGAAUGGCAUCCGGAACUGUUUGGCUAGAGUGCAGAAGAGGAAGGUAGAAUUCCCGGUGUAGCGGUGAAAUGCGUAGAGAUCGGGAGGAAUACCAGUGGCGAAGGCGGCCUUCUGGUCUGACACUGACGCUGAGGUGCGAAAGCGUGGGUAGCAAACAGGAUUAGAUACCCUGGUAGUCCACGCCGUAGACGAUGUCGACUAGCCGUUGGGAGCCUUGAGUUCUUAAGUGGCGCAGUUAACGCGAUAAGUCGACCCGCCCUGGGGAGUACGGCCGCAAGGGUUAAACUCAAAUGAAUUGACGGGGGCCCGCACAAGCGGUGGAGCAUGUGGUUUAAUUCGAUGCAACGCGAAGAACCUUACCUACCCUUGACAUCCUGCGAACCCUUCGGAGACGAAGGGGUGCCUUCGGGAGCGCAGAGACAGGUGCUGCAUGGCUGUCGUCAGCUCGUGUUGUGAAAUGUUGGGUUAAGUCCCGUAACGAGCGCAACCCUUGUCCUUAUUUGCCAGCGCGUAAAGGCGGGAACUCUAAGGAGACUGCCGGUGACAAACCGGAGGAAGGUGGGGACGACGUCAAGUCAUCAUGGCCCUUACGGGUAGGGCUACACACGUGCUACAAUGGCAAGUACAAAGGGUUGCAAUACGGCGACGUGGAGCUAAUCCCAUAAAGCUUGCCUCAGUCCGGAUCGGAGUCUGCAACUCGACUCCGUGAAGUCGGAAUCGCUAGUAAUCGUGAAUCAGAAUGUCAC